GACGAACGCUGGCGGCGUGCUUAACACAUGCAAGUCGAACGGAAAGGCCCUGCUUUUGUGGGGUGCUCGAGUGGCGAACGGGUGAGUAACACGUGAGUAACCUGCCCUUGACUUUGGGAUAACUUCAGGAAACUGGGGCUAAUACCGGAUAGGAGCUCCUGCUGCAUGGUGGGGGUUGGAAAGUUUCGGCGGUUGGGGAUGGACUCGCGGCUUAUCAGCUUGUUGGUGGGGUAGUGGCUUACCAAGGCUUUGACGGGUAGCCGGCCUGAGAGGGUGACCGGCCACAUUGGGACUGAGAUACGGCCCAGACUCCUACGGGAGGCAGCAGUGGGGAAUAUUGAACAAUGGGCGGAAGCCUGAUGCAGCAACGCCGCGUGCGGGAUGACGGCCUUCGGGUGGUAAACCGCUUUCGCCUGUGACGAAGCGUGAGUGACGGUAAUGGGUAAAGAAGCACCGGCUAACUACGUG
rnacentral:rRNA from 1 species